CCACUUGAUGUUUUAUGCAAGAACCAACCAAGCAAGCAAACUAGUACAAGCCACAAUUAUUUUAUGAUAUCAGAAUCGUCUUGAACCCUCAAGGAUCACUAUAAAUAGAGGAAAAAGCCUCAGCUAUCCAUACACCAAGCUUACCAAGCAAAACUUCAUUUUUGCAAGCUUUUGACCUUAACCUCCAUUUCUCCCAUUUGGCUCGAGCAUUCAGAAAACCAAAGAGUCCAACCAUAU
rnacentral:lncRNA from 1 species